AUACUCCCUCUGUCCCGAAAUAUGUCGUACAUUCUUUCAUAUAAAAUGUACUAGCAAACGUACGACUUAUUUCGGGACAGAGGGAGUUAUUAU
rnacentral:pre_miRNA from 1 species